CGACAGCAAUAUGAAGGUCAGGCUGAAGACCUUACCCGAUUAGCUGAGAGGUGGUGCAUGGCCGUCGUCAGUUCGUACUGUGAAGCAUCCUGUUAAGUCAGGCAACGAGCGAGACCCACGUCCACAGUUGCCAGCAUACCCUCCGGGGUGAUGGGUACACUGUGGAGACCGCCGCUGCUAAAGCGGAGGAAGGAGUGGGCAACGGUAGGUCAGUAUGCCCCGAAUCUCCCGGGCUACACGCGGGCUACAAUGGUUGGUACAAUGGGCAUCUACCCCGAAAGGGGAAGGAAAUCUCUUAAAGCCAAUCGUAGUUCGGAUUGAGGGCUGCAACUCGCCCUCAUGAAGCUGGAAUCCGUAGUAAUCGCGUUUCAACAGAACGCGGUGAAUACGUCCCUGCUCCUU
rnacentral:rRNA from 1 species